rnacentral:rRNA from 1 species
AUGAACGCUGGCGGCGUGCCUAAUACAUGCAAGUCGAGCGAACGGACGAGAAGCUUGCUUCUCUGAUGUUAGCGGCGGACGGGUGAGUAACACGUGGAUAACCUACCUAUAAGACUGGGAUAACUUCGGGAAACCGGAGCUAAUACCGGAUAAUAUUUUGAACCGCAUGGUUCAAAAGUGAAAGACGGUCUUGCUGUCACUUAUAGAUGGAUCCGCGCUGCAUUAGCUAGUUGGUAAGGUAACGGCUUACCAAGGCAACGAUGCAUAGCCGACCUGAGAGGGUGAUCGGCCCCACUGGAACUGAGACACGGUCCAGACUCCUACGGGAGGCAGCAGUAGGGAAUCUUCCGCAAUGGGCGAAAGCCUGACGGAGCAACGCCGCGUGAGUGAUGAAGGUCUUCGGAUCGUAAAACUCUGUUAUUAGGGAAGAACAUAUGUGUAAGUAACUGUGCACAUCUUGACGGUACCUAAUCAGAAAGCCACGGCCAACUACGUG